UCCCUGGUGGUCUAGUGGUUAGGACUCUGCAUUUUCACCGCUGUGGCCCUGGUUCAAUCCCUGGUUGGGGAA